GGAAACAAUGAUGAGUUCCUAACAGACCUGUAAUGAUUUGCGGAUAUGAUCGCAUAUCUUUUGAACAUCUAAGGGGCUGAGUUCUG